UUUAGAAUUUGAUCAAGUUUGAACAUGAUUGUGAUUUGACUCUAGUUUUAUAUGCUAGAGAAUCAAAUAUUUUGGGAAUUGGGAUGUUCAUGAAAAUUGAAUUUGAGUUUAGUUUAACGACAUUUCGGUCGAUAUCGGAUUUAGGUUUAGUUUAACGACGUUUCGGUCGAUUGAUUUGGUGGAUUAGUUUAACGACGUUUCGGUCGAAGGUUUGGGUUUGGUUCACAAGGUUUAUGGUAUUGGGUAUAUGGGAUUAUGGUUCAUGAACUUAGAUAUGGUUCAUGGGUUUAUGGUUCAUGGACUUAUGGUUUAUGGGUUUGGUUCAUGGGCUUAUGGUUCAUGAACUUGUGGUAUGGUUCAUGGGUUUAUGAACUUGUGGUUCAUGGGCUUAUGGUUCAUGAACUUGAUUCAUAGUUUGUGGAUUUGGUGUAUGGUAUGGUCCACAGGAUUUGGUAUAUGGUUUGGUCCAUGGUUUUAGUUCAAAGUUCAUGGACUUGGUUAAGGUUAUGGGCUUGGAUAUGGGUUAAAUGUGUAUGGGUUUAUGGGUAAAUGUAUAUGGGUUUAUGUAUAUGGGUUUAUGGGUUAAUGGUUUUAAUGAGUUUUGGAUAAUGGGCUUAGAUAGUAGGCCUAAAUGGGUUUUGGACCGGGGCCAUUUGUAAAUGGGCUCUGGGCUUUGGACUAGGCCUAGAUUUAAUUGGAUUGGGUUAUAGUAUAUGGGUUUAGAAUUGGGCUAAGGUUUAAUUGGAUUGGGUUAUAGGUUUGGGUUUUGUAGAUUGGCUAUUGGGUUUGAUUUGAGCUGAAAUCGAGCCCGUAAAGCUAUAUGUAAAUAGGCUAUAUGAUAUGGAUUCUGGUGGGCUAAAUUCAGGCCCAUGAACCCGAUUUAUUUCAUUUUGGAUAUGGAUUCGGGCUCAAUACGGGCUCAUUUCAUUUUGUAUUCGGGCUCAAAAUGGGCCAAAUCAUUUUGAAGUGGAUAUGGAUUUAAUAUGGGAUUUAGAUUUGGGCUCAAUAUGGGCUCAAUUGGAUUUAAAAUGAGCUCAAUUUGUAUGUGAAUUUUAGGUUUAUUUGGGUUUAGGAUUUGGGAUUGGUUUGAUUAUGGAUUUGGGCCUUGGACUUUGGAUUGGGUUUUGAUAUGGGUUUGGGCCUUGGACUUGGGAUUGGGUUUUGAUAUGGGUUUGGGCCUUGGACUUUGGAUUGGGUUUUGAUAUGGGUUUGGGCCUUGGACUUUGGAUUGGGUUUUGAUAUGAGUUUGGGCCUUGGACUUUGGAUUGGGUUUUGAUAUGGGUUUUAGGAUUUGAAUUCGGAUUUGGUAUUGGAUUUGAUUUGGAUUUGGAUUCGAGUCGGGUUUGGAUUCGAAUUUGGAUUCGAAUUCGAAUUUGAUUCGUAUAAUUUUGUCGAGUUUGAAUUUGAGUCUAUAUGAAAUCAAAAUAUUUCGGUAUCUGAUUCAAAAUCAAGUUCAUCCAAGUUUGUCAAUUCCUCAAUCGUAUACGAUAUCCAACCAAUUUGAUCUAAUUCGAUCAAAUUGAACAGUUCCAUUAUUUUCGAACACUAUCAAAUCAAAAGAAUAUUAAUAAAAAAUCUAAUUAAUUUUCUUUUAUUUCUCCACUGAAAGAGAAUUAAGAGAAUAUUUUUUCUCUGUCUCUUAAAAAAUAAGAUGCAUCAUUCAUCAUCAUCAUUUUUUUACAUCUUGGGGACAACUAAGGUGGGAAGAUCCCUCCUUUGCCUCCCUCUUUUUUUUUACAAAGCUCCCUCUCUCUUUCAUAAUCAUGAUUAGAGAAGUACUAUCUUUCUCUCUCUCUCUCAAAUAUAUAUUUUUUGAAGAGCACCGCUCUUUCAUUUUUUAUAAAGAGAAGAGCACCGCUCUCUCUCUUUAUUCGCCGCCGAGCACUUGGCGGGCGGAUCUAACUUCAUUUGAGAGGAGAGCACCGCUCUCUCUCUCUCAGGUUCGCCGUCGAGCGGUUGGUGGGCGGACUCCGGGUACAUCGAGCACUUGGCGGGCGGAACCGGGCGGAACCCGUUUGAGAGGAGAGCACCGCUCUCUCUCUCAGGUUCGCCGUCGAGCAGCUGGCGGGCUUUGUUGAUGACGGAGCUCCGGUUUCAUUCAGGAAUUUCGUCGAACAGUUGGUAGGCAUGGUUCGUCGGUGCGAACUCCGUCAAAGCGACAUCCUGGACAUUUCAUCAAACAAGUGGUGGACGUGUCCCGUCGGCGUCCACUCUGCCAGAACCAUGUCCUAAUCAGCUUUGUAGGUGGCGAGGGUGUUCUCGGUGGCCUCCUUCUACUCGGCCCCGGUCUUGAACUCGACGUCGAUUCAAAUGGUAUCAUCUUCGUCAUGGAGGAUCAAGGAUCCGUUGGCGGUGCACGAGAUGCAGCGGUUGCUGGCGGAAAAGAAGAAUUGCUCACUGCGGACUUAAAUCGAACACCUGGUGUGCGGGGGAUGAAGCAGGAGAGGAGCAGGAUGAGGAAGGAGCAGGUGGCCUCGGCGGUACAGAGGUCAGCGAGGAACAGGCAGCCUCGGAACGGGCAGCCUCGGAGCGGGCGACCUCGGAGGGGGCGGCCUCGGAGCGACGACCUCAGCGGCGCAAGGGUCGGCAAGGAGGCGACGUCUUCAGCGGCGCAGGGGUUAGCGAGGAGGCGGCAGCCUCGGGUAGUUGAAGUUGGCGAGGAGCGACGCGGCCUCGGGCGCAGGGGUCGGCGAGGAGCGACGGCCUCGGGUAGUUGGGGUCGGCGAUGAAGCGAGCGGCUUCGGCGGCGGAUCGGCGAGGGAACAGCCGGAAGCAAGCGGCGACCUCGGUAGACGGAUCAGCGCGGAAGCGGGCGGCUUCAAGCAGAUCGGCCGCGGGUGGCGCGGCUUCGAGUCGAGGACGGCAGCGGUGGCGCUUCAAGCAGAUCGGCCGCGGGUGGCGCGGCUUCUAGUCGAGGACGGCGAGCUCGGUGGAGUCCGCGGCCAUGUGCGCAGAGAAGUCGAGGAGCGGCGGCGAUGGCGGCUCGUGGUGACGUCGGAGUCGAUGCCGUCGCGGAGAUCGCAAAUGAGUUUGGGGCGAAGUCCGCGGCCAUGCGCGCGGAGAUUGUCGAGAAGUGACGCCCCGGGCCGAGGCGUCUCGGAGUGACGUGGGCAUGUCUCGGAGCAGACGACCUUAGCGGCGCGGUGCCUCGGAGCAGACAAGGGGGGGGACCUUGGAGCGAGCUCGACGGUCGGUGCGGUUCGGCUUUGGAGCAGACAAGGGGGCCUUGGAGUGAGCUCGACGGCCGGUGCGGCUCAGCCGCAGCAUGGACGGCCUUGGGCUCGAAGGUGGUGCAGCUCGGCCUCGGUUGGAGAGGGAUGACGCGGCGGGUGAUGGAGCAGAUCGGCCGCGGGUGGCGCUUCAAGCAGAUCGGCCGCGGGUGGCUUCGAGUCGAAGACGGCAGCGGUGGCGGCUUUAGGCAGAUCGGCCGCGGGUGGCGCGGCUUCGGGUCGAAGACGGCAGCGGUGGCGGGGACACGGCGGAAGGGCUCGGCCGACUCCAUGAUGAGCUCGGUGGAGCUCGGUGGGGUGCUCGCGGAGCUUCGGCGGAAGCGCGAGGAGCGCGUCGCGGCUCGAUCGGCAGAGAAGUCGGUGGAGCGCCUCGGCGCGGAGAGCUCAAGGAACUCGAGCGCACGGAGACAUCGAGGAGGCGGCGAGGGCAAUGUCGUCGAGGGCAGGGGCUCGGCGGAGGAAGCAUCGGUGAGUGCUUGAGAGAGAGAGAGAGAGAGAGAGAGAAAGAAAAGAGAUCUCAGAGAUCUGAGAUCUCUUUUUUUUUCUUUUCCUUCUUUCUUCUUUUUUUUUUUUUUUAGCCGAGAGAGAGAGCUUUGUUUUCUUCUUUCUUUUUUCUUCUUUUUUUUCUUUUUUUUUUUUGAACGGGAGAAAGAGAUAAUAUAUUUUUUUUACCUUUUCUUUUUUUUUUUUUUUUUGCGAUCGACAGAAUAGGGUAGAAAUUUUUUUUUAGAUUUCGCAGAUUCAAAAACUCUCUCUUGUUUGAUUUUUCGAGGGGUAUUUAUGGAGGUGGUUGUAACCAACCUGAGGGAGACGUGCGGAUGGAUCGUGGGAUGCGGGUGGUUGUAAACAAUUUGAGGGAAACGUGCGUAUGAAUCGUGGGAUGGUUAUGGGAUCGUGGGUAAUCGUGAUAGGAUUGUGGGAUGAUGGGUGGUGGGUAUAGGUUGUUACGAUAGUAUCGUGGGAUUGUGGGAGAGAUUUUGGAUGGUUGAGAUGAGAUUGUGGGGUAUUUUGGACGGUUGUGAUGAGAUUAUGAGAUAUUGGGUGGUUAGGAUGGGAUUGCGGGAAUAUUGCGGAUUAGUCCUUUCCCUUUGAUCAUAUUACAUCUUAAUAAAAAUAUUAUAUGAUUAAGGUGGGGCAUUUUGUAAAUAUAUAAAAGGGAAUAGACUAAUAUGCUAUUUUAUAUUCCCGUACGUAUUAUUUUUUUGCAAUCCGGUGCAUGGGAUAUUUUCAAAAUUUAAAUUUUAUCCAUGCACCUGGUGCAUAGAUGAUCUCAUAAACCAUCUCUAUUUAUUAUUUUCUCUCUCCCCUUUUUUCUUUUUCUUCUUUUAUUCCUCUCUCUUUUUUUAUGCUUCAACAAAUGCCCCCCACCUUUUCAAGCUUGUGAUUUAAACAAGGUGGAAAAAAGUGCCGAUCUCCUUUCACUAUUCCGACCUUCAUAUCGCCAUCCGGGGUUUGAUCAUCAAAGAUCCAAGGUAUUUAUAUAUUUCGUUUUUUUGAUCUCUUUUGAUGUUAUAUAUACAUAUUUGCAUUCAUAUUUGAGAUCUGUACGAGACAUAUUCAAACCUCUGAAUAGAUUUCGUAAUUUUUUCUAGAUCAUGGGAAAAACGAAUGAACCAUUAAUUCAUCCCGAUGAUAGAAAUUUAGGCGUAUUUAGAGGACUUUCUUUAAUGCGUUCGCCUCCGAUAUUUGGGCGUUCCGCUGAACCCGUCAUUCCUUAUGAGACGCCUAUGUUAAAAGAAUGGGCGAUAUUUAAGCAGAAGCAAUUAUUGGGUCGUUUCGGAGUUGAUUAUUAUGCUCCCGAUUGUGACGGCGACGUCAUAUUAUUGCCCCCUAUAGGACCUCCGAAAGAAAGAGACACGUUACAAUCUCUCGGCUAUAAAAUACUUAAUAAUCAUCCUGGAUGGUGUGGAAUGAGUAGGGUUUUAGGGGACAGCAUUGAGGUAGAGGGUUUAAUUGAAUGGGGAAAUCAUAUCAUCUCUCAUUACACCACAUAAUUACGUCGUGCUGGCAUUUUAGGGGGUAUCGUAGCUUCACGAGGGAGAUACAAUAAGAAUAUGAAUAUCAUCAAGGCAUUGGUAGAGCUGUGGUGUUCGGAGACAAAUACUUUUCAUCUUCCAUUUGGUGAAGUUGGGAUUUCUUUAUGGGAAAUUAGAGAACUCGGUGGGCUCCCGAUUAUCGGUGACAUGUACGACGAAUAUAUCCCUCCAAAUUCUGAACUUUAUAGUAAGAAUAAUUAUCCCAGUUGUGUUAGGGAGCUUUUUGAUGUUUAUCAAUGGCUCAUGGCUCGAUCUUCUAACAAGCGUGUGCGGUAUGAUUUAUGGGUAGAUUUCUUUUACACAAGCUGUAAAAAGUUGACUAAGUCUAAGUCUCGGAGUAUAAGCAAUAGAGAGCUCGCUCCCUCAUAUACGGAAGAUACGACUCGAGCGGCCUUCAUUUCUUUAUGGUUAUGCAACUUCGUAAUGCCUUCUGGAUUAGACCAUUUCAUCAGGCCAGAGACGUUUAUUAUGGCUUCUAAGCUGGCAUUAGGUGAGAAAGUUGCUUUAGCCCCUGCCAUUCUUUGUGCGAUCCAUGCUGGUUUAUCAUUUAUGAGUGAUCACCCUGAAGGACCUGCGCAUCCUGGACCUCAAUUUCCCGUUAAUUUUCUAUAUGCGUGGAUCGGUCUUCACUUUGAACAGACUUAUUCUAGAAAGGUGAUUAGUGAGAAUAUCAAGAAUAUCGUCGGCUUACGAAGUCCUCCUCAAAUGAUAUUUUUUAUGGACGCGGCGGCUUCUCCUUUUAAUGCUAAGCGAGCACGGAUUUACCUCAGGUCGAGUGCUCAUUUUGUUUGGCGUCCUCUACCAUAUUCUUAUUCUUUUGUUGAUGACGGUUGGCUUUACGAUGCGAAAUUGGCUCCAGGAGAGUGUAAAUAUCCGAGAGAGGUUUAUGAGUAUAUAAUUUCUAUCAGACAGAGCGUGCUUCCACUUCGUUUGGGGAAUAAAUUACACACCCAGCCAUAUAAUCCUCAUCGUUUUGCUCGACAAUUUGGCUUUGAUCAGUCUUUUCCUGAAAGUAUCACUGUUCCCCGAUUAGCGAGCCAUCUUGGGAUACUUGCUGGAUGUUGGAAUCAUUUCAUUCGCUAUGGGACUUCUAUUAAUUAUUUCAUACCGAAGAAGGACCGGAUUGGGAAACCAACUUUGCAUUAUGCGCGCUGGUGGUCUAAUAGUGUGCAUUCGAGCUUCAAACACGGAGUAGGCUAUCUACUGAGUGCAGAUGAUCCCCGCAAGCAGCAGAACAAGAAGAGUAUUGUUUUAAAGGAAAGUUCAGCUUCUGCAAGGAAAUUGGGUUCUUCGGGUAUUAUCGCUGAAAGAGCACUAGAUUCUCUGGGGCCAGAGGCGGAGCAGCUCGACUUAUUUCCAGAGUAUGAUCAUGUUCAAGUUGGUCCUUCCGAUGACUCUCCUAGAUAUGAAGUUCUUGGUCUCAGUUUCCCCAUUCAUGAAGACAAGACAUCAGAGGUAUGUUCAUUAACAUUUUCAAUUAUCUCUUUUUUUUUCUUUUGCGUUCUGACCUUCUUCUUUUUUUUCUGUAUACAGGAAGUGUUUGUUACAGGUUCGCCUGCCGGGGAUAAAAUACACUUGCAAGACCCUUCAGUGAAGUCACAGGUAUGACGUAGAAUCCAUAUAAUUUAAAUUUUGUUGAUUCCUUCUGACAUCCUUUCUUUCAUGUAGGCAUGCGAUAUGGAACCGUCAAGGAGCUCAGAAAAUCUACCCUUGGAUGUUCCAACUAAAGUGGCUCGUGGAAAAGUUCCCAUUACGGUGUCUUCAAUGAUAGGUAAUUUUUUAUAUUCAUAUUCUGUUAGUAAUUAAUUUUACAUGAUGUCGCCGCACUUGUUCUUUGCUUUUUUAAUUCACAGAAUCACAAGCUGGCGGGAGUGGAUCCAUUGAGGAUGACGUGCCUUCAGAUGAUGAGUUGGUUCUGACGCCUUCGCCACCACAGGUAUUUUAUUUUCUAGUUGAAUCCAUGUCCCUUCUUUUGGUUUCAAAUUAAGAAUUUGAUUCUCAACUAAAGAAGGAGGUAAAAUAUGGAUAAUAAUGUGUAAUUUUUUGUCAGGAAUCCGUAGCAACAAAAAUUUCGCAAAUCGGAGUUAAAACGAAAAUGUUAUGGCCCGUUUACACUUUGGUCCCUGUAUUUACGAAACAGUCCCUGCGGGCAGUUUCAUUUCAGUUCCUGCAGUUUUAUUUUAGUCCCUGCAGCUUCAUUUCCCUUACUUUUUGAUGCAGAAAAUUACCUUCAAGGAAUUUUAUGGCUAUAACGAUGCACAUUUUGGGAUUAAAAUAUUAUAACCCCUUUCAUAAUAUAUUCGUUAUUCCUUGUUUUUACAAAAUGGUCCUUGUAGCAUAUAUCGAUAUGUGAUUCUUUUUGUCACAGGAUCCGCUCACCGCUGCUGCUGAUAUUGGAGCGUCAUCUUUCAAGGAGGCUUGCUUGACUCAUCAUGAAGUAUAUUUGUAUUUAUUAUCCCAACUUUCAUUUUAUAUCGCUCAUGUUUACACCGCAAUUUUAUUGUGUAGGAUGAGGGUGCUGAAGAAGAUGACGAUAUAGUAGAAGAUGGCAAAAAUGAAGUCUUGCCAGGAUCGUCUUUACUUGGUAAAAGAGAACGAGUCGAUGAUAUUCCGGCUACAGAGGUGCAUAAAAGAGCUCGUUUGGAGGCUGAUUCAAAAUCAACCGGUAAAAUCCUCCCCUCUUUUUUUUAAAAGACAGUAUCUUUUACAUAUUUAUUAUUUCUUUUUAUAUGCAGACCUUCCGGUAGAGUCAAAAUUGGAUUAUGAUCUGAUAGACGCUUUAUCACCUUAUGGCGACGAAGUGGACUACGAGCCUACACCUUCACCACCUGAAGCUCCUGAUAUGGUAAGAUUUAAAUAUUUUCUUCUUUCUUUUUUUUCUUUUUUUUUUUUUUAAUUCUUUUCUUUCUCUUUUUAUAGGGCGUACCACUUGACGAGGACGUCGGCAUUAACGUGAGUAGCGGUACAGGAGGUUUCCAGAGUGAGGUGCCUAUUGCGGUCAGAUCAUUUUUGAUUGACCGCAUAACGGAUAUCAUGAAGACAUUCGACCGUCGACGAUUCAGAUCAGCUCGAGAGGAAGUGUCCAAGUAUUGUCAGUGCAUUUCCUCACUUGGAAUUGAUGUAUCUGAAUUGGAUGGGCGUAUAAAAUCCGUGUUUGAUCAUGCCGAGGUCAUUGAAGAAUUAGAGUCAAGUCCGAGUUUCGCUUCAGCUGUUCGGCUCGUGAAUGCUGAUGAGGAUCUGGCGCUAAAGAAAAGGAAGCUUGCUUCUCAUAUCAGCACAAAAAGUUCUAUUCUCAAAGCUUCAGAAGGUGUCUCUUUGGAGCUUCAGCAGACUAGAGAGAAAAUAAGAGAGCUUGAGGAGCACAUUUUGCAGUUAAAGAGUACAGAAGCAGAGUUGUCAUUUAAACUCGAAGUGGCCAACGACUCUUUAAAGAAAUUAACGCCGACUGAAGAAGAACUGCAGAAGGACGUUGCUGAUGCGGAGAGGGAAUAUGCUGCAGCCACUGAAGAUUGUAAAGCUUCCAAAGAAUCCGCCGGUCUCCGAGGAUUGAUAGAGCUAUUUGAGGAGCGUCGUCAGAUAUUUGAGAUUUGAUUUUCCUUUACUUUUCUCUUUUUGGAUGUUUAUCGUGGAUGUUAUCUUUAUUUGUCACUAGUAUGAGACAGUAUUUGAUAAUUUGAAUGACUUUGAUUGUGCUUGAAUGUUUGAUCUCUUCCUCCUGUCUUUAUCUCAUACUGCAUUGUGACGAUGAUUGUCUUGCGAGGAUGGUUUGUUUCUUUUGCCUUGAUUCUCACGUACAAUCAACUCUAAAUUGAGUCAUCACUCUGUUGUCUGGACAAAUAUGCUAUCUUCUCAGCGCUCUUGUAGCGAUAACAUGUACACUGCCCC
rnacentral:lncRNA from 1 species